rnacentral:rRNA from 1 species
CAGUCGCCGCGGUAAUACGAAGGGGGCUAGCGUUGCUCGGAAUGACUGGGCGUAAAGGGCUCGCAGGCGGUUUCUUAAGUCUGAUGUGAAAGCCCCCGGCUCAACCGGGGAGGGUCAUUGGAAACUGGGAAACUUGAGUGCAGAAGAGGAGAGUGGAAUUCCACGUGUAGCGGUGAAAUGCGUAGAGAUGUGGAGGAACACCAGUGGCGAAGGCGACUCUCUGGUCUGUAACUGACGCUGAGGAGCGAAAGCGUGGGGAGCGAACAGGAUUAGAUACCCCCGUAGUCCCUGUCUCUUAUAC